CUGUGAAAGCCCCAGCGGAGUCCCGAACCCCCCACCCGGAUCUCGAAGGAUGCGCUUGACGAACUCUGAGGGCCCACUGCCGUGGCGCGGGGGCAAAGCAGAGCAUGCAUGCAUCCACUUCUUGUGAAGUUAAAAUACAGCGCGAACUCUUGUUAGAGAGUGGAAUGAAUGUCCAUUCUCCGAGAAAAAAGAUUUUUUAAAGCAUGCUUUUAUACUAAUUAAUGGGCUGUACGGGGGUUGUUUAUUCACUAAAGCUGCCCCAGUUUAGUCUUCUUAUGCCACAAUAUGGGACGAUCCCUCGCGGCUUCCUGGUAAUGAAUGACCCGAGGGUAACACCAACACAACCUUCGAGAAAAGGCGGACCAUUUCCCCAAGCCCGAGAUCUGCAGGACUGAAAUGAAAUAUUUUGAGCUCUUCUAGCUGACUCAUCAGAAUCCUGGAGCAUUUUUUAAAAUGACGAGUGAAUAGACUAUAAGCAGCCAUCUCUUUCUCAUGCAGUCCAGCCUGAAAUGGAAAUUGUAGGUUUUAAUGAUUGAAAAUGGAAAUUGAUAGAACACACGUGCCCAAGAGAAAUGCAUCUCCGGUUCCUUCAGUCCUGAAAGAUAGGAUGUUGAUCAGCGGUCCCAGAAGCAUUGCCUUGAUUUCUCAGAGUUUGUUAAAAGCUGGGG